rnacentral:sRNA from 1 species
CACCACGUUGAAGAGUGUUGGCGACAGA